GACGAACGCUGGCGGCGUGCUUAACACAUGCAAGUCGAACGGAAAGGCCCUGCUUUUGUGGGGUGCUCGAGUGGCGAACGGGUGAGUAACACGUGAGUAACCUGCCCUUGACUUUGGGAUAACUUCAGGAAACUGGGGCUAAUACCGGAUAGGAGCUCCUGCUGCAUGGUGGGGGUUGGAAAGUUUCGGCGGUUGGGGAUGGACUCGCGGCUUAUCAGCUUGUUGGUGGGGUAGUGGCUUACCAAGGCUUUGACGGGUAGCCGGCCUGAGAGGGUGACCGGCCACAUUGGGACUGCGAUACGGCCCAGACUCCAACGGGAGGCAGCAGUGGGGAAUAUUGCACAAUGAGCGGAAGCCUGAUGCAGCAACGCCGCGUGCGGGAUGACGGCCUUCGGGUUGUAAACCGCUUUCGCCUGUGACGAAGCGUGAGUGACGGUAAUGGGUAAAGAAGCACCGGCUAACUACGUG
rnacentral:rRNA from 1 species